CGAGAUUGGCCAGAGGCGAAGACGGGGGCGGAGCUCGGCGGGGAGGGAAAGGCCGAGGGCGACGUCGAUUAGGAAGUCGGCACGGCGGCGCGGGGGAACGCGGGGUGUCUCCCCUGGUUUUUUCGGUCCCUAAACAAGUAUAGAAACUGGUUAUAUCUCCUCGUUUAAGUCACCAAAGUUCGAGGAUGAUUCACUUUUUCCUAACUUUUAAUUGGGAGGGAUUCCCAGCCCUCCCGGAAGUGGAGGGUGACGUAUGAGCGCUGCCUCGGUGGCCCGGAAGUGCUCUUUACAGCCGGUUCCUGCGGUCCGGCCGCCGUCCCGCGUCCCACCCCGGGCUCCCGCCGACCAGGCGGACGCGGCCCCAGCCCGCCGCUGCCGUUCAGCCUGCUCCUCUGUCCCCUGCGCUUCCCGAGACGAAGGCUGGAUGCCUCGUUCUUACACACCACGUCACACGUGACGUCCACGUCACGACACCGCGUCGCACACGGAGUCCACGUCACACAUGACGCCUCGUCCCGGCCGGGGACGUGCUCGGUGGCCCCGCGCGCGGGCAGCGCCGCCCUUUGCCCCGCGCGCCCCGCCCUCCUCCCGGGGGCCAGGCCGCCAGGGGCUCCGCAGGGUCUCGUUGCCGCGUCGCCCGCACGAUCGUGCUUGUUCUGUUCUAGGCGAACUGUAACGGAGCAAAUAGGGGCUGGUUGUGCUCGCUGCAAUCAGGUGCCAAUCAAUUGCAAACAAGCCAGUGGUUCAGAAAGGAAAGUUUAUAGGAUUAGCUAGCAUAAUCGCAAGAUGCUGGACUAGUGUCCUAAACAACCAUCUUAAAAGCGUACAGCAUCUUGAGGCGGUUACACAGGGGAGAGGGGCGGGGAAGGAGGGGUUUAGGGAUCUCUUCCUUCUGUCAUUCGUGACGGGUACCAACGCAGAAUUUUAUUUCUGGAGGGCGUCACGUUCCUGGGGAACUCAGGGGACAAAGUUGUCGUCUUAUCACAGCUGGGAGAUAUAGGUUGACAAUAUGUAUACAAUGGAAUAUUAUUCAGCCAUAAAAAAAGACAUCCUGCCAUUUGCAAAUGAGCCUGGAGGACACUAUACUAAGUGAUGAAGAUUAGCCCUGAGCUAACAUCUGCUGCCAAUCCUCCUCUUUUUGCUGAGGAAGACUGGCCCUGAGCUGACAUCUGUGCCCAUCUUCCUCUACUUUAUAUGUGGGACGCCUACCACAGCAUGGCAUGCCAAGUGGUGCCAUGUCCACACCAGGGAUCCAAACCAGUGAACCCCAGGCUACCGAAGCAGAAAGUGCGAACUUAACCACUGUGCCACCGGGCCAGCCCCAGAGAGUAGAUCUUAAGUGUUCUCACCAUAACAACAGCAACACCAAAAGGGUAAUUAUGUGAGAAGGAAGUAUUAACUAACCUUACUGUGGUAAACAUUUCACAAGGCUGGCCCAGGGUUUCACGGCUUCAGAUCCUGGGCGCAGACCUAGCACUGCUCAUCAGGCCAUGCUAGGGCAGUGUCCCACACAGCACAAGUGGAAGGACCUGCAAUAGAAGAUACAGCUGUGUCCUGGGGAGCUCUGGGGAGAAGAAGAAGAAGAAGAAAAAAAAGAGAUUUGCAACAGAUGUUAGCUCAGGUGCCAAUCUUUAAAAAAACCCACAUUUCCCAAUAUAUGUGUAUCAAAUCAUCACAUUAUACACCUUAAUGUACAACUAAGGUACACAUUAUAUGUCAAUUAUAUGUUAUAUGAAAAUUAUAUCUCAAUAUGUUAUAUGUCAAUUAUAUCUCAAUAAAGCUGGGGGGAAAAUUAAUUAUGUCCUUAAGGCCCUGUCUCCAAACACAGUCCUGUUUUGAGGUCCUGGGAGUUGGGACUUCAACAUUUGAGUUUUAGGGGGAAACAAUUCAGCCCAUAACAAGUGCCAAACUCUGUGCUAAGCCCUUGGGGGUGGCCUUGCGUAGAGCUGUGGAAAUUACUAAAAGAAACCUUAACUAAAUUGGAGUCAAGACGGGGUGUAGGGGGAGCUCCCCUACCCUAUCACAUCAUCAAUUACACCCAACAGAAAGAGACUGAUGCUCGCAUCUCCCACUGGAAGUACAACCACUUUACUACUGGAGGAAGAUUUUUCUCCUUUCGUGGUAAUAGCCUAGCCAAUGAGAAAGGCCUCAGCUCAGCCAAUGAGAAA
ensembl:lncRNA